GGGUCAGUAGGUUGGUCGUGCCACCGGUACGUACUGGUCUCACUGAUUCCUCCUUCCUGAAGAACCGUAAUGCCAUUAAUUUGGUGUUGCGGGGAAACAGGACUGUUACUUUGAAAAAAUUAGAGUGUUUAAAGCAAGCUAACGCUUGAAUACAUUAGUAUGGAAUAAUGAAAUAGGGCGAUCGAUCCUAUUUUGUUGGUUUCUAGGAUUGACGUA
rnacentral:rRNA from 1 species